UGUUUGGUUGGGGGAAUAGGAGUGCAUUCCCCCUAAUAUGCGGGCCCACCACCAAACGGGCGUUUGGUUGCCCGUAAUAGGCAUUCCCCACGCUGAGCGCCGAUUAGGGAUUCCUUACCGUUUCUUAUUUUCUAUUCCAUAUUCUACCCUCAUCGAUUUCUGCUUCUUCCAUCGAUAUUGCACAGGUCGUUACCUUCAUUAUUUUAGCAGGUAGCUGGUUCCCUGUUUAUUUUACAGCCGGAUGUAGGUUUAGCUGCAGCUAUACUGAUGCAGAACCUCAGCAGGAUAUCUAUGAAUUGAUGGCAGAAUGAAUGUUCUUCUACAGGCUGCUACUGCAUAUUCAAACGGUGUGAAACCAGACGUUGUCACAUAUACCAUACUUAUGAAAGCUCUUAUCCGUGUUGACAAGUUUCAUAAGGUCCCAGCUGUAUAUGAAGAGAUGAUUUUGUCUGGUUGCACUCCUGAUAGGAAAGCUAGGGCAAUGUUGCGGUCUGCUCUAAGAUACAUAAAGCAGGCAGUGAAGUCAUAGUUGACAAUCCAUAAUCCAUAUGGCUAAAGCAAGUCAUGACUGAACAAAUUGUUGUUUGAGUUAUCGGUUUGAGAAAACUUGUGCAGCCUCUCAUGCCAUCUCAGCCUGGGAAUGUGGGAGUUACUUGUUGUUCAGGAAUAGGUACCAAUUUGAUCAAGUUACUGAGGAUGCCAUGGUUAAUAGACUGAGCAAUUUCUCCCUUGACGAUAACAACUUUGAAGCGGUGAAGCAGUUUUGUUGCAGCAUUGCCAGUAAAUUUGAUGUUUGAUCUAAAAAUUUUUAAAUGCAUGUUUAUAUAUUUUGGAAUUAUGUUGCCACUGGAAUCUUGUUUUUCUCCUAUUGCCUAUUGGGAACUGAGGCUUGUGAUAGGGGGUUGACUUGUUUGUUUAUGAGGAUGACAGGAUCAAAUGCUAUAUUUGGAAGUUGUUUUGCUGAUCA